CGUUGAAACACCGGUUCCCGUAUGAUCACUGAAGUUAAGCAACAUCGUGUCUGGUCAGUAGCUAAAUGGGGGAGAGUUAGGGAAUACCAGGUA